GGAAAGAAGAGUGGUGGGCUAGAGUGUCUCUGUCCUCACCACAAACACUUUCUCUCCCCUGACCUCCAUUUCAUUUUCUAGGAAGAGAGUGGUGUCAGAGAAGUCUGUUACGGCAGUGGGGAUGAGCACAACCUACACCAAGGAGACUCCAGGCAUAGCAGACACAGCAGUGGACUCUCUGGCAUCUGUCACAAGCAUCUAAAACAAGAAGAAUAAAAAGUGCAAGCAAGAUACAGCAGAGACAGCUAGAGGAAAUAAAUCUGGUAGCCUCUGUGGAGGAUCCAACGUGACAUUCAUUAAAGUCAGGAUGCCCAUCAGAAUUACUGAGACAAGGAACUGAGAGGAGGAGAAAAAAGGAUAAAGGCCCCAUGAUGAUGAUGAUGAUGAUGAUGAUGAUGAUGAUGAUGAUGAUGGAGCAGCCUCAUCUGCCCACAGGAAGUCAUUUUUGCAUCUUCCUACUGUUUCCACAGGUAUGAAAACACUGAAGAAAUUGGGGCAGCCCUUGCUCAGAUAGGAAAUUUGCUGGAAGAAAGUCUGACUUUGUGGCAGUGCUGGACAGUGGAAUUUGGAGCAAUUGAAAUAAGUUGGGAGGUCAGAGAUGUGGCUACUUUUCAUGGAUGGGAUCUGUGGCAUUCAGAAGGAAAUCCUGUCCAUGACAACUGCUAGGCUAAACAUCUAAGCUUGGACACCUUUUGGAAAGACACAAGAAAGACCUAACUCUUUGAACUGGCCUAUGGGAACGAAUGUGAAACUGGAAAAGGAGCAACACAUUUUUAUUUGCAAAAGCUGAUCAUCACACUAACCUUCUUCUUCGUUGAACUCUCUUUUAAACAACAACAGUAUAAGAUUACUGCAGUUUUCGCCUGCAACCGACAUAUAUUUGAAUCAUUUAAAAUACAACGGCCAGCCGAGUUAACUCUUAUGUGUUACAGGCAUGGGCACUAGAACUUCCUCUUCAGAUGUCCUGUGCCUGCAAGAGCAUAUAGGCAUGACUGUUUGUGUACUUCCUUGUAUAAGAGCUGCCAGAAUCAGAGAUGGUGCCUACACCAUGAAACACUUCAGAGGGCUGAAAGAGGAUGCAGCCACUGCAGCUCCCACUCUCUUCUGCCACCAGGCCUUUCUCCCAUUUGCUACCACACUUGCAAUGUGAACUGGAUGCUUGCUACAGCAGAACAGAUAAAGAUGAGUGAAGGGACCAACACAGGAACAGUGUGAUAGCUGUAUUUUCUUUUGGCGCUUGAGCAUGUAAGGACAUAGAAAACAUCUAUAAGAGAGCCCCAAGCAAGCCUAUUUUUAAUGCAGCAGUGCUAUGUGCUUCAAGGAGCUACCUUGCAAGCAGUUAAUUUUUUGGAAUCAUGUCUUGUAUAUAAGGCCUGAACAGCUUCUGGGAUUACUACUUUAAAUAUAAGCCAUAAUACUGUCAAUAUGGUAAUUUCAAAAACUGGCUAGCCUCAAGGCUAGGAAAACUCUACAAAAUUUGAUCCAUUAGCACCACAGGGAUGGUGGCCAUGAGUACCCAUAAAACAAGUGCUUCUUUCAGAAAUGCCACCAAAGAGGAAUUGCUCCAAGAAAAUUAGUCCAAUAUCACGCUCUUCACUGAAAUCCAUUUAUAAGUGUUGUGACAUGUUUAAAAUAGUGAUCCCAGAAGCUGUUCAAGAUAUUAUUUCAAAAAAAAUGAACUGCUUACAGGGUAGCUCCUUGUCUUCUGAAAUCUAAACUUAUUGCUUUCUUUUUCUGACUUACUCCUUUCAGUUACAUAAAAAAAUAAGCCAACAGCUUCUCCUAUAUGUUCCAAGUCAAGGAUGUGUGUAAAUCCUGUACCAAGUUAAAGCCGGAGCUUGCAGUCCUGCUCACAGGCUGCUUCAACCCAUUUGGAGUUAAUGAAAUUAAAGAAGCCUAAGAGCACACAGGAUUGCAGCCCAAGUGCUGAACACUUUGCGGGGUUAAAGCCCAAAGUUUCUCCAAGUUGACAGAAUAUUACCUUGCAAUUACUUUGAUACAAAAAGCAUUUAUGGUGGUAUUUUUUAAUUGGCACUAUUAAUUUUCAAAAUGCUGGAAGAAAGAUUUCAAGCAACACAGCCUACUCUUCUAGAAGUUCAAAGCAUUACAAAAAAAUCAUCUCAAAAAUUAUGGUGGAUUUGGAUAUAACACAGAGUUCUGAAUUAAAGCUGUUUAAGCAAAUUUAAACAUCUGAAUUAUAGGCUAAACUUGCAAUUCUGCUAGCUGUACUUGUUGAUCCAAUAAAAGUGACUGGCUUAUCUUGAAUGCUUUUUAUGUCUUAUUCUAGAAGACCAACACUAAAACUUCUAUAUUGUAAUUUCUUUGACAGAAUUUGUUAUCAGAGCAUGUACCUCAGAGAGAGAUUUCAAAAAUGUAUAAAACUAAUGGUCAACAUUUAACUAUAUUGAAUUCUGUAACCCUGAUGCACUAGUUUAAUGGCUAUUGUUAAAAGAAUGUCUAUCCAUUUUCUUAGUCUGUACAUCAAUGGUUUGUCAAGCGUGUUGAUUUCAGCAUUAUUAAAGACCAUUUCAAGGGUAA